AUACGUAGGGAGCGAGCGUUGUCCGGAAUUACUGGGCGUAAAGGGCGCGUAGGCGGCGCGGUAAGUCUGGAGUGAAAGUCCUGCUUUCAAGGUGGGAAUUGCUUUGGAUACUGCCGCGCUUGAGUGCAGGAGAGGUUAUCGGAAUUCCCGGUGUAGCGGUGAAAUGCGUAGAGAUCGGGAGGAACACCAGUGGCGAAGGCGGGUAACUGGACUGCAACUGACGCUGAGGCGCGAAAGUGUGGGGAGCAAACAGGAUUAGAUACCCUGGUAGUCCACACUGUAAACGAUGAAUGCUAGGUGUAAGAGGUAUCGACCCCUUUUGUGCCGGAGUCAACACAAUAAGCAUUCCGCCUGGGGAGUACGGCCGCAAGGUUGAAACUCAAAUGAAUUGACGGGG
rnacentral:rRNA from 1 species